UACGUAGGGUGCGAGCGUUAAUCGGAAUUACUGGGCGUAAAGCGUGCGCAGGCGGUCUGUUAAGACCGAUGUGAAAUCCCCGGGCUUAACCUGGGAACUGCAUUGGUGACUGGCAGGCUUUGAGUGUGGCAGAGGGAGGUAGAAUUCCACGUGUAGCAGUGAAAUGCGUAGAGAUGUGGAGGAAUACCGAUGGCGAAGGCAGCCUCCUGGGCCAACACUGACGCUCACGCACGAAAGCGUGGGGAGCAAACAGG
rnacentral:rRNA from 1 species